rnacentral:rRNA from 1 species
UGCAUAGGAAUCUGCCCGAUAGUGGGGGAUAACCUGGGGAAACCCAGGCUAAUACCGCAUACGUCCUACGGGAGAAAGGGGGCUCCGGCUCCCGCUAUUGGAUGAGCCUAUGUCGGAUUAGCUAGUUGGUAAGGUAAUGGCUUACCAAGGCAACGAUCCGUAGCUGGUCUGAGAGGAUGAUCAGCCACAUCGGGACUGAGACACGGCCCGAACUCCUACGGGAGGCAGCAGUGGGGAAUAUUGGACAAUGGGGGCAACCCUGAUCCAGCCAUGCCGCGUGUGUGAAGAAGGCCCUCGGGUUGUAAAGCACUUUCAGCGAGGAAGAACGCCUAUCGGUUAAUACCCGGUAGGAAAGACAUCACUCGCAGAAGAAGCACCGGCUAACUCCGUGCCAGCAGCCGCGGUAAUACGGAGGGUGCAAGCGUUAAUCGGAAUUACUGGGCGUAAAGCGCGCGUAGGUGGCUUGAUAAGCCGGUUGUGAAAGCCCCGGGCUCAACCUGGGAACGGCAUCCGGAACUGUCAGGCUAGAGUGCAGGAGAGGAAGGUAGAAUUCCCGGUGUAGCGGUGAAAUGCGUAGAGAUCGGGAGGAAUACCAGUGGCGAAGGCGGCCUUCUGGACUGACACUGACACUGAGGUGCGAAAGCGUGGGUAGCAAACAGGAUUAGAUACCCUGGUAGUCCACGCCGUAAACGAUGUCGACCAGCCGUUGGGUGUCUAGAGCACUUUGUGGCGAAGUUAACGCGAUAAGUCGACCGCCUGGGGAGUACGGCCGCAAGGUUAAAACUCAAAGGGGCCCGCACAAGCGGUGGAGCAUGUGGUUUAAUUCGAUGCAACGCGAAGAACCUUACCUACCCUUGACAUCUACAGAAGCCGGAAGAGAUUCUGGUGUGCCUUCGGGAACUGUAAGACAGGUGCUGCAUGGCUGUCGUCAGCUCGUGUUGUGAAAUGUUGGGUUAAGUCCCGUAACGAGCGCAACCCUUGUCCUUAUUUGCCAGCGAGUAAUGUCGGGAACUCUAAGGAGACUGCCGGUGACAAACCGGAGGAAGGUGGGGACGACGUCAAGUCAUCAUGGCCCUUACGGGUAGGGCUACACACGUGCUACAAUGGCCGGUACAAAGGGCU